CACGUAAGGGGCGAGCGUUGUCCGGAUUUAUUGGGCGUAAAGAGCUCGUAGGCGGUUUCGUAAGUCGGAUGUGAAAACUCCAGGCUCAACUUGGAGACGCCAUUCGAUACUGCGAUGACUUGAGUCCGGUAGGGGAGUGUGGAAUUCCUGGUGUAGCGGUGAAAUGCGCAGAUAUCAGGAGGAACACCGGUGGCGAAGGCGGAUCUCUGGGCCAUUACUGACGCUGAGGAGCGAAAGCGUGGGGAGCGAACAGG
rnacentral:rRNA from 1 species